AAGCAGGGACAUAAACACUCAAUAGAAGUGCAAGUUAAGCAUAUAUUAGAUCGUUAUAAAGUAGAAGGUAUGGCUGGGCAUAAUGAGUCUGACAAGAAGAAAAUGAAGCUGCUAAUGAUUUACAAACAUUCAGUGCUGAAAAUUUGCAAAAUAACAUGAAAGUUAUAUAUUACAGUCGGACUUUUUUGUCUAUUGUCGGUGGGGUGAUUGCUGGAAUUUUGGGAUUCAAGGGUUUGGCUGGAUUUAUCCUUUAUUUCCUUAUCAUGGCAAUCUCUUCAGUUGGACUCAUAGC
rnacentral:misc_RNA from 1 species